rnacentral:rRNA from 1 species
UAUCUCUGUAGAGUCUGCAUAUCAAUAAGCGGAGGAAAAGAAACUAACUAGGAUUCCCUUAGUAACGGCGAGUGAAGCGGGAAGAGCUCAAAUUUGAAAUCUUCAAGGUUUUACCUUGACGAAUUGUAGUUUAAAGAAGUGUUUUCUGUUGGUGUUUUGGUAAAAGUUCUUUGGAAUAGGACAUCAUAGAGGGUGAGAAUCCCGUAUUUGACCAUUACUUCCAGCGUUGUGAUACACUUUCAAAGAGUCGGAUUGUUUGGGAAUGCAGUCCAAAAUGGGUGGUAAAUUUCAUCUAAGGCUAAAUAUUGGCGAGAGACCGAUAGCGAACAAGUACCGUGAGGGAAAGAUGAAAAGAACUUUGAAAAGAGAGUUAAACAGUACGUGAAAUUGUCAAAAGGGAAGCGUUUGACACCAGUGUUGUUUUUCCAAAAAUCAAUUACGAAUGGCUUGAUUUUGUGUUGUAUUGACCUUAUCAGCUUUCUGCACUUUUUUCGAGUCUUUCUUAAUGCACUUUUCGGUUAACAAGUCAACAUCAAUUUCUUUUGUUGUAAAAGAGUAUUCGGAAGGUGGCUUUCUUUUCGGAGAAAGUGUUUAUAGCCCUAUACUUCUACAAUCGGAGAGAUUGAGGUCUGCAGCGUAGAUCCUUCGGGGUUAGAUACAUUGGUGCUAAGCUAUAGCCUUGUAUAGACAACUUGUUGACUAUGCUCAGUCAUGUAGCUUACUCGCUGAUGCUAUUUUACCUACGCUUAGGAUGUUGAAGAUGUAGCACAUCAU